GACGAACGCUGGCGGCGUGCUUAACACAUGCAAGUCGAACGAAGAGCGAUGGAAGCUUGCUUCUAUCAAUCUUAGUGGCGAACGGGUGAGUAACGCGUAAUCAACCUGCCCUUCAGAGGGGGACAACAGUUGGAAACGACUGCUUAUACCGCAUACGAUCUAACCUCGGCAUCGAGGAAAGAUGAAAGGUGGCCUCUAUGUAUAAGCUAUCACUGAAGGAGGGGAUUGCGUCUGAUUAGCUAGGUGGAGGGGUAACGGCCCACCAAGGGGGUGAUCAGUAGCCGGUCUUGGAAGAUGGACCGCCAACAUGGGACCGGGACACGGCCCAAGCUCCUAAGGGAAGCAGCAGGUGGGGAUCUUCCGCCAUGGAGGGAAGGCUGACGGAAGAACGCCGGGGGGGUGAUGAAGGCCUUCGGGUUGGAAAGCUCUGUUAAUCGGGACGAAAGGCCUUCUUGCGAAUAGUGAGAAGGAUUGACGGUACCGGAAUAGAAAGCCACGGCUAACUACGUG
rnacentral:rRNA from 1 species